GACGAACCGUGCGAACGUUGUUCGGAUUUACUGGGCGUAAAGGGCGCGUAGGCGGCCGAUCAAGUCAGGCGUGAAAGCCCCGGGCUCAACCUGGGAAUGGCGCUUGGGACUGGUUGGCUUGAGUUCGGGAGAGGAGAGUGGAAUUCCCAGUGUAGAGGUGAAAUUCGUAGAUAUUGGGAAGAACACCGGUGGCGAAGGCGGCUCUCUGGACCGAGACUGACGCUGAGGCGCGAAAGCGUGGGGAGCAAACAGG
rnacentral:rRNA from 1 species